UACAGAGGGGGCAAGCGUUGUUCGGAAUUACUGGGCGUAAAGGGCGCGUAGGCGGCCUUCUAAGUCGAACGUGAAAUCCCUGGGCUCAACCCAGGAACUGCGUCGAUCACUGGAGUGCUUGAAUCCGGGAGAGGAUGUGGAAUUCCAGGUGUAGCGGUGAAAUGCGUAGAUAUCUGGAGGAACACCGGUGGCGAAGGCGGGUCUCUGGGCCGGUACCGACGCUGAGGAGCGAAAGCGUGGGGAGCGAACAGG
rnacentral:rRNA from 1 species